AGUGAACGCUGGCGGUAGGCCUAACACAUGCAAGUCGAACGGCAGCACAGUAAGAGCUUGCUCUUACGGGUGGCGAGUGGCGGACGGGUGAGGAAUACAUCGGAAUCUACUUUUUCGUGGGGGAUAACGUAGGGAAACUUACGCUAAUACCGCAUACGACCUACGGGUGAAAGCAGGGGAUCUUCGGACCUUGCGCGAUUGAAUGAGCCGAUGUCGGAUUAGCUAGUUGGCGGGGUAAAGGCCCACCAAGGCGACGAUCCGUAGCUGGUCUGAGACGAUGAGCAGCCACACUGGAACUGAGACACGGUCCAGACUCCUACGGGAGGCAGCAGUGGGGAAUAUUGGACAAUGGGCGCAAGCCUGAUCCAGCCAUACCGCGUGGGUGAAGAAGGCCUUCGGGUUGUAAAGCCCUUUUGUUGGGAAAGAAAAGCAGCAGGUUAAUACCCCGCUGUUCUGACGGUACCCAAAGAAUAAGCACCGGCUAACUUCGUG
rnacentral:rRNA from 1 species